UACGUAGGGGGCAAGCGUUGUCCGGAAUCAUUGGGCGUAAAGAGCGCGUAGGCGGCCCAGUAAGUCCGCUCUGAAAGUCAGGGGCUCAACCCCUGAAUGCGGGUGGAUACUGCUGGGCUAGAGUCCGGAAGAGGCGAGUGGAAUUCCUGGUGUAGCGGUGAAAUGCGCAGAUAUCAGGAGGAACACCGAUGGCGAAGGCAGCUCACUGGACCACAACUGACGCUGAGGCGCGAAAGCUAGGGGAGCAAACAGG
rnacentral:rRNA from 1 species